GAGAGAGAGGGAGAGAGAGCACCUAUGCAAUUCAUACAAUGCUAGAAAAGUAAAGAGCAGGAGGAUUGGAAAAUAUUUGUUAAGAUGGAACUGAGAGCUGAGGGAACUACUGACAGAUGAAGAACUAUGGCCACCAAGACUCGUACCGCAAUCUAGAGCCCUUGUGUGAGUUUGAAAAGAAAAAUGCCUUGCUACUCCCCUUUGAUUAACGGCAAGUAUAGGUGCCCACGGUCUGAAACCGAACUGAUUUAAUUUAGAAUCUUAAACAAAUUGAAAUUGAUUGAAUCUGAAUCCAAUUAAACCAAACUCAAACUGAACCAUUGAUCAGUUCAGUUUCGGGUCACAAUUUAUUUUUUGCCCUUUAAAAAUAGAAAAAAUAAAAAUAAAAAUAAAA
rnacentral:misc_RNA from 1 species